rnacentral:rRNA from 1 species
AUUGAACGCUGGCGGCAUGCUUUACACAUGCAAGUCGAACGGUAACAGGUUAAGCUGACGAGUGGCGAACGGGUGAGUAAUGCAUCGGAACGUGCCCGAUCGUGGGGGAUAACGCAGCGAAAGCUGCGCUAAUACCGCAUACGAUCCGAGGAUGAAAGCGGGGGACCGUAAGGCCUCGCGCGAUCGGAGCGGCCGAUGUCAGAUUAGGUAGUUGGUGGGGUAAAGGCCCACCAAGCCGCCGAUCUGUAGCUGGUCUGAGAGGACGACCAGCCACACUGGGACUGAGACACGGCCCAGACUCCUACGGGAGGCAGCAGUGGGGAAUUUUGGACAAUGGGCGAAAGCCUGAUCCAGCAAUGCCGCGUGCAGGAAGAAGGCCUUCGGGUUGUAAACUGCUUUUGUACGGAGCGAAAAGGUCCUUUCUAAUACAAGGGGCUCAUGACGGUACCGUAAGAAUAAGCACCGGCUAACUACAUGCCAGCAGCCGCAGUAA